AACCAAUCCUUUACACGUAUCUGGUAAAUGAUUUAUAAACCCGAAGAUAACAAAGUAUAAAACUGUAUCACUCUCUUCACUUUACAAAGGAAACCCUUUCUGAAUAAUUUGCCAUGUCUCUGAAAAUGUUUCCAAUUUUGGUGUCUGCUCUGCUGCUUACAGCUUCAGUUUCAAGUGUCCUUGGAGCACCCUUUCGGACAGAAGAAUCACCGGAUCAGUUCAUAUGGCUCAAGCGACACAUUCCGUAUUAUCCGAGCCACUGGGACUCGGGCAGCAGCCAGAGCACCUGGGGAUACACUGUGGCUGAACAGAUCAGUGACUCAUUGGCAGCUUUGAGAGAAACAGCACAAUACUACAUGGGCUUGGACCGUUUUGCCUUCGAUCCCUCGACAGCCGCGCUCGAUGGGGUUUCUCAGCAGAGCGUUUUGUAGACUCGGAGCCUGAGUGCACCUCACAACAACAUCAGAUCCUACAUGGAGCUACUACAGAAGUCUGGGACUCACCUCCAGCAAAAAGCUAUUAAAUCCUACACAUCUUGUAUCAGGCCAUGUUAGGAUAUGGCAUGUUAUGUAUUUACCAUUAUGUAUUUGAUAAGAUGACUUUAUCUCAUCCCACUUGGGGCUAAACCCAAAAGUAAUACACUAGCUCUCUGCAUAAAUACUGCAUAUUUUAUAUUCAUAAGUACAACUGAGAUGUAGGUCAUGGUAAAUUGAAUAACAAGUUGAAGAAAACCAACCAAGAACUUUUAGCAGGUCAGGUUUAAAAAUGCCUAGUGUUUUCAGAUAAAACAUUCUUUCAACUGAACAAUUGUUUGAAGAUGUACAUUCCUGCUUCUGUGACUGAAAACCAUGUUUUUAUUUCUCAGUAUUUUCCUUUUUGUGAGCUACAUUUUUGGGAGGCAAAUAAGAAUUGAAAACCAGUUCCUUUGGAUGGGUGAGAAGUUGAGCAAGUUCAAGUGCAUUUCCAUUUUUUCAAGUACCAGUAGUAGGUGUUGUAGUACACAUCCACUCAAGUCAAAGUUUCUCUUUCCUCAUUUAAUCUUCUCUAUUUGGUCUUCAAUGCCAAAACCAAUUGAACCCACAGCUACUACUGUGAGUUUUUCCUUACUCCAAAGAGAUAGGAAAUGGUGGAAACAUUCAUGGCUCCUUUCCUGAGAAGAAAAUGUUGGUGACAAAUGUUUUUUAUGCCACAUUCAUGAGCUUGGAAGUUUCCUGGUUCCUAUUCAUUAAUGUACCUUAUUUCAGAACAUCUUUGAAGAGAGGAUUAGGCUUCCAUGUUUCUUUUGUAUGUUAUUAAUAUAAUGCUAAAAAAUAAAAGCUUUUUCAAAC
rnacentral:lncRNA from 12 species